AUUGAACGCUGGCGGAAUGCUUUACACAUGCAAGUCGAACGGCAGCACGGGGCAACCUGGUGGCGAGUGGCGAACGGGUGAGUAAUACAUCGGAACGUGCCCAAUCGUGGGGGAUAACGUAGCGAAAGUUACGCUAAUACCGCAUACGAUCUACGGAUGAAAGCGGGGGAUCGCAAGACCUCGCGCGAAUGGAGCGGCCGAUGUCAGAUUAGGUAGUUGGUGGGGUAAAGGCUCACCAAGCCAACGAUCUGUAGCUGGUCUGAGAGGACGACCAGCCACACUGGAACUGAGACACGGCCCAGACUCCUACGGGAGGCAGCAGUGGGGAAUUUUUGGACAAUAGGGCGGCAAGACCUGAUCCAGCCAUUCCGCGUGCAGGAU
rnacentral:rRNA from 1 species